AUUGAACGCUGGCGGCAGGCUUAACACAUGCAAGUCGAGCGGAGAUGAGGUGCUUGCACCUUAUCUUAGCGGCGGACGGGUGAGUAAUGCUUAGGAAUCUGCCUAUUAGUGGGGGACAACAUUCCGAAAGGAAUGCUAAUACCGCAUACGACCUACGGGAGAAAGCAGGGGAUCUUCGGACCUUGCGCUUAUAGAUGAGCCUAAGUCGGGUUAGCUAGUUGGUGGGGUAAAGGCCUACCAAGGCGACGAGCGGUAGCGGGUCUGAGAGAAUGAUCCGCCAGACGGGGACUGAGACAAGGCCCAGACUCCUUCGGGAGGCAGCAGUGGGGAAUAUUGGACAAUGGGAGGAACCCUGAUCCAGCCAGGCCGCGUGUGUGAAGAAGGCCUUAUGGUUGUAAAGCACUUUAAGCGAGGAGGAGGCUACUGAGACUAAUACUCUUGGAUAGUGGACGUUACUCGCAGAAUAAGCACCGGCUAACUCUGUGCCAGCCGCCGCAGUAAAAC
rnacentral:rRNA from 1 species